rnacentral:rRNA from 1 species
UACGGGGGGGGCAAGCGUUGUUCGGAAUUCCUGGGCGUAAAGGGCGCGUAGGCGGUUUGCUAAGUUGGACGUGAAAACUCUGGGCUUAACCCAGAGCCUGCAUCCAAAACUGGCAAGCUGGAGUUUUGGAGGGGGAAGCGGAAUUCCUGGUGUAGCAGUGAAAUGCGUAGAUAUCAGGAGGAACACCGGUGGCGAAGGCGGCUUCCUGGACAAAAACUGACGCUGAGGCGCGAAAGCUAGGGGAGCAAACAGG